rnacentral:rRNA from 1 species
AUUGCAGGCUGNAACCCGCCUGCAUGAAGUCGGAAUUGCUAGUAAUCGCGGAUCAGCAUGCCGCGGUGAAUACUUCCCGGGCCUUGUACACACCGCCCGUCACACCAUGGGAGCCGGUAAUACCCGAAGUCAGUAGUCCAACCUCGUGAGGACGCUGCCGAAGGUAGGAUUGGCGACUGGGGUGAAGUCGUAACAAGGUAUC